GAAAUAUAAUAAUACUAAAUGAGGCUAAACCACCUCUUAAUCCAACAUAAGACAAAGACUCAACACCAACAACAAUAAAGUCAAACAGCAAGACAACCAAACCAGCCAUAGCCAUGGCUUUAUUUAAAUCCUUAAAACAAAACAAAAACAACCCUUCUUCAACACAAACAUAUAACUAAUACUCCUUUUCUUCAUUCUCUUUCCAGUUCUUGCCACACUUCAAAACAGACCUUGGGGACCCACAGCAGCUCCCAUCCUUCUUCACAAACUUUUGGUACACAAUUGAACCUUCACAUCCAAGCUCUUCAUAACUCUUCUCUUCCACACUGUACCCCUCGACUUCGAUCGCGCAUGUUGCCUCCAAACGCUUUGAUUUCAUGGAAUACCCACACGGGUCAAACUCGAAAUCGCAGAUUUCGGACUUCGGUAGGAUAG
rnacentral:lncRNA from 1 species